GACGAACGCUGGCGGCGUGCUUAACACAUGCAAGUCGAACGGAAAGGCCCUGCUUUUGUGGGGUGCUCGAGUGGCGAACGGGUGAGUAACACGUGAGUAACCUGCCCUUGACUUUGGGAUAACUUCAGGAAACUGGGGCUAAUACCGGAUAGGAGCUCCUGCUGCAUGGUGUGGGUUGGAAAGUUUCGGCGGUUGGGGAUGGACUCGCGGCUUAUCAGCUUGUUGGUGGGGGAGUGGCUUACCAAGGCUUGGACGGGUAGCCGGCCUGAGAGGGUGACCGGCCACAUUGGGACUGAGAUACGGCGCAGACUCCUACGGGAGGCAGCAGUGGGGAAUAUUGCACAAUGGGCGGAAGCCUGAUGCAGCAACGCCGCGUGCGGGAUGACGGCCUUCGGGUUGUAAACCGCUUUCGCCUGUGACGAAGCGUGAGUGACGGUAAUGGGUAAAGAAGCACCGGCUAACUACGUG
rnacentral:rRNA from 1 species